AUUGUGGACUAGAUAGAAUCAACAACAACUGAGACAACUAACCCAGCAUCAAUGAUCCUAAGCUUGAUACAUACGAUAUAUGAAUGUGGGAACCGUAAUUAGAUUUUAACCGAAGAUGUUGGUUUUGUAUUCUGCACAUGUAGGCUUCAGCCAAAGCCUCCCAGAUAGGAAUCAAAAGCAAAUGGAGAUGAUUCAGAAAACCACAACUGGCCCCAAUCAGAGAUCAAAGGAUCAUGGAGAGUCCACGCCCAACAGAUACAUAUGGCUCCAGGAAUAUGGCCAAAAAGAAGAUGGAAAGAUUUUUAGAGCCAGUAUACCAGAAGAUUUGUUAUGAAAUAGUCUCUCUUAGAAAUGACUGUAUAAUCAAGAACAUCAGCAUGAAUGAACAUCUAUGAGUGAGGGAUUUUGGAAGGGGAAAAUGUUUGGAGGGUCUCACCCCUGACAAAAACUAAAACUAUUUUAAAAUAGGGAAGUUGUAUAAUGAAU